rnacentral:tRNA from 1 species
AGGGUGGAAGUGUUAAUGGUAACACGCCGGCCUGUCACGCCGGAGACUGCGGGUUCGAUCCCCGUGCGCUCUG